GAUGAACGCUGGCGGCGUGCCUAAUACAUGCAAGUCGAGCGAACGGACGAGAAGCUUGCUUUUCUGAUGUUAGCGGCGGACGGGUGAGUAACACGUGGAUAACCUACCUAUAAGACUGGGAUAACUUCGGGAAACCGGAGCUAAUACCGGAUAAUAUUUUGAACCGCAUGGUUCAAAAGUGAAAGACGGUCUUGCUGUCACUUAUAGAUGGAUCCGCGCUGCAUUAGCUAGUUGGUAAGGUAACGGCUUACCAAGGCAACGAUGCAUAGCCGACCUGAGAGGGUGAUCGGCCACACUGGAACUGAGACACGGUCCAGACUCCUACGGGAGGCAGCAGUAGGGAAUCUUCCGCAAUGGGCGAAAGCCUGACGGAGCAACCCCGCGUGAGUGAUGAAGGUCUUCGGAUCGUAAAACUCUGUUAUUAGGGAAGAACAUAUGUGUAAGUAACUGUGCACAUCUUGACGGUACCUAAUCAGAAAGCCACGGCUAACUACGUG
rnacentral:rRNA from 1 species